rnacentral:rRNA from 1 species
CAAUUGAAGGGUUUGAUCAUGGCUCAGAACGAACGCUAGCAGCGUGGAUUAGGCAUGCAAGUCGUGCGCGAAAGUCUUCGGACGAGUAAAGCGGCGAAAGGGUGAGUAACACGUAACCAACGUACCCCUCAGAUCGGGAUAACCACUGGAAACGGUGGAUAAUACCGAAUGGUCCUAGGAAGGACAUCCUUCCAAAGGUAAACGGCGGCUUAGGCGGCUGUUGAGGGAGCGGGUUGCGUCCUAUCAGUUAGUUGGUGAGGUAACGGCUCACCAAGGCGAUGACGGGUAGCGGGUCUGAGAGGAUGAUCCGUCACACUGGGACUGAGACACUGC